rnacentral:rRNA from 1 species
UUUGUGGUACCCCGCUUGACUUAAGCAUAUCAAUAAGCGGAGGAAAAGAAACCAACAGGGAUUGCCCUAGUAACGGCGAGUGAAGCGGCAACAGCUCAAAUUUGAAAUCUGGCUUUCGGGCCCGAGUUGUAAUUUGUAGAGGAUGCUUCUGGCGCGGUGCCUUCCGAGUUCCCUGGAACGGGACGCCUUAGAGGGUGAGAGCCCCGUACGGUCGGACACCAAGCCUGUGUGAAGCUCCUUCGACGAGUCGAGUAGUUUGGGAAUGCUGCUCUAAAUGGGAGGUAAAUUUCUUCUAAAGCUAAAUAUUGGCCAGAGACCGAUAGCGCACAAGUAGAGUGAUCGAAAGAUGAAAAGCACUUUGAAAAGAGGGUUAAACAGCACGUGAAAUUGUUGAAAGGGAAGCGUUUGCGACCAGACUUUUUCCCGGCGGAUCAUCCGGCGUUCUCGCCGGUGCACUUCGCCGGGUCAAGGCCAGCAUCGGUUUCCGGAGGGGGACAAAAGCCUUGGGAACGUGGCUCCUUCGGGAGUGUUAUAGCCCUUUGCAUAAUGCCCCUCUGGGGACCGAGGUUCGCGCAUCUGCAAGGAUGCUGGCGUAAUGGUCGUCAACGACCCGUCUUGAAACACGGACCAAGGAGUCGAACAUUUGUGCGAGUGUUAGGGUGUCAAACCCCUGCGCGUAAUGAAAGUGAACGGAGGUGAGAGCCCUUACGGGUGCAUCAUCGACCGAUCCUGAUGUUUUCGGAUGGAUUUGAGUAAGAGCAUAACUGUUCGGACCCGAAAGAUGGUGAACUAUGCGUGGGUAGGGUGAAGCCAGAGGAAACUCUGGUGGAGGCUCGCAGCGGUUCUGACGUGCAAAUCGAUCGUCAAACCUGCGCAUGGGGGCGAAAGACUAUCGAACCAUCCAAGGGGGGUU